CUACGUGCCAGCAGCCGCGGUAAUACGUAGGGUGCAAGCGUUAUCCGGAAUUAUUGGGCGUAAAGGGCUCGUAGGCGGUUCGUCGCGUCCGGUGUGAAAGUCCAUCGCUUAACGGUGGAUCUGCGCCGGGUACGGGCGGGCUGGAGUGCGGUAGGGGAGACUGGAAUUCCCGGUGUAACGGUGGAAUGUGUAGAUAUCGGGAAGAACACCAAUGGCGAAGGCAGGUCUCUGGGCCGUUACUGACGCUGAGGAGCGAAAGCGUGGGGAGCGAACAGGAUUAGAUACCCUGGUAGUCCACGCCGUAAACGGUGGAUGCUGGAUGUGGGGCCCGUUCCACGGGUUCCGUGUCGGAGCUAACGCGUUAAGCAUCCCGCCUGGGGAGUACGGCCGCAAGGCUAAAACUCAAAGAAAUUGACGGGGGCCCGCACAAGCGGCGGAGCAUGCGGAUUAAUUCGAUGCAACGCGAAGAACCUUACCUGGGCUUGACAUGUUCCCGACAGCCGUAGAGAUACGGCCUCCCUUCGGGGCGGGUUCACAGGUGGUGCAUGGUCGUCGUCAGCUCGUGUCGUGAGAUGUUGGGUUAAGUCCCGCAACGAGCGCAACCCUCGCCCUGUGUUGCCAGCACGUCAUGGUGGGAACUCACGGGGGACCGCCGGGGUCAACUCGGAGGAAGGUGGGGAUGACGUCAGAUCAUCAUGCCCCUUACGUCCAGGGCUUCACGCAUGCUACAAUGGCCGGUACAACGGGAUGCGACAUGGCGACAUGGAGCGGAUCCCUGAAAACCGGUCUCAGUUCGGAUUGGAGUCUGCAACCCGACUCC
rnacentral:rRNA from 1 species